GGGCUGGAGCCAAGGGUUUCUGCAGAGAGAGCACAAGAUGGGUUAAACUUAGAACACAAUGUGUGAGUUCCAGGAGGGGCUGGUGGAGGGCCGGCUUUCUUUCCGGUGAAAAAUGAUUCCUUUCCAAACAAGGAUCUGGUUCUUUCUUGCUAUCCUGCCAGUGCCUGAGUAUUGGUUCUGCUGCUCACAUUUUUUUUUUUUAAACAGGGUCUUGCUAGUGUAGUUUAGACUGGCCUUUAACUCACUAUGUAGCCCAGGCUGGCCUUGAACUCACAGUGAGCCUCCUGCCUCAGGCUCUUCAGUGCUGGGAUUACAGGCACGCACCCUGAUGCCCGUCCUGCUGCUGAUUUAAAGAGGAAUUUUUCUUCAUUUCUUGAAAUUUCAAUGAAUCUGAAAGUCUUCUAUUUCUAGCAAUUAUUCAUCUCCAGAAUAUUUACUGAGUGGCUCCUGUGUGCCAGGUCCUGUUCUAGGUGCUGGAAUGUAGUAAUAAGAAAAAAAUGUCAGCAAAAAAGCUCCAUCCACAGGACUUCUAUAGCAGCACAAUUCCUCAACCACAGCUCUAUUGGUGCUUUGAGCUGGAGACUCCCUUGUUGGGGGCUGUCUGGUGCAUUGUAGGAUGUUCCACAGCACUGCUGACCCCCAGCCACCAGUGGUGACAAUGAACAGCGUCUCCAGAUGCUGCUGGGUUUGAACUACGAGACCCUGAGCAGAGGCUGGAGACCCUGUCACAUCAGGAGGGAGAACACUUGCUCUGUAGGCAGGGUGGUUCUCCAGGGAAUGGACAGCCCAUGAACCUCGGUAAGCUGGACAAUCAACUGGAGGUGGAUAUGUGUAUGGGGUAGGUUAAAGAGAGUUGAGUCUUGGUAAUGGGGCCAGGAUGGGAGGUUGUUGUCAUUUAAAUGACAUGGUUGGGGGCAUACUAAAGAAGUUGACAUUUUCAAGUUCUUGAAAGAAGCACAGAAGUGGGAUGUAUGACUGCAGAGGAGGAACAUUCCAGAAGGAGGUGACAGCCAAUGCAAAAGCACUGAGCAUCUGUAGUGCCUUCAGAAUCACGGAGACCACUAGUAUGACUGGAGUGGAGGAAGCAAGAGGAGAUGCUCAGAGAGGAGGCAGAGAGACGAAGGGAGGAGCAUUCAGAGUGAGAACAAUGCUAUACAAUAAGAAGGCCCUUGCCUUGCCUCCAUGUUUUUUUUCCACCAAAUAUUUUGUUCCAGAAAUUUUUUCAUAUGUACAAGAGGAAGAGGAAAACAUGAACUUUAACAGGACAACUCCAGCUGCUGUGGCCUUGAGAGUAGACUUUGGUGGAAACAAAGACAAAAUCAGUGCCUCAGCGAGUCAGACUCUGACUCCAGGACUCCCAAGGGUUGAGUAGGUGUCUGUGGGCUUCAGGGGACUCCGUCAUCUCCCCUCUCUGGUGAAGAUCCUAGGUCCUCCUCAUCCUCACUUCAUCCUUCUCUCCAUGUUACCUUUUAUUGUUUGACUCUGCUUGAGGUAACAGCCUGAUUUUCAUUCUGGAAAUAAGUAAUUAUAGUGACUAAUAAAGUGUGAUAGAAAUUGCAAACUAACAGGUACCAAGGACUUACUACAUGCCAGAUGCACUGCUAAGCUCUUGGCCUUGUCGCAUUUAAUUGUG
rnacentral:lncRNA from 1 species